rnacentral:rRNA from 1 species
CCUACGGGAGGCAGCAGUGGGGAAUAUUGGACAAUGGGGGGAACCCUGAUCCAGCCAUGCCGCGUGUGUGAAGAAGGCCCUCGGGUUGUAAAGCACUUUCAGUGAGGAAGAACGCCUGGUGGUUAAUACCCAUCAGGAAAGACAUCACUCACAGAAGAAGCACCGGCUAACUCCGUGCCAGCAGCCGCGGUAAUACGGAGGGUGCGAGCGUUAAUCGGAAUUACUGGGCGUAAAGCGCGCGUAGGUGGCUUGAUAAGCCGGUUGUGAAAGCCCCGGGCUCAACCUGGGAACGGCAUCCGGAACUGUCAAGCUAGAGUGCAGGAGUGGAAGGUAGAAUUCCCGGUGUAGCGGUGAAAUGCGUAGAGAUCGGGAGGAAUACCAGUGGCGAAGGCGGCCUUCUGGACUGACACUGACACUGAGGUGCGAAAGCGUGGGUAGCAAACAGGAUUAGAUACCCUAGUAGUC